rnacentral:lncRNA from 1 species
CCUUUGUCCUCCUUGUGGUCAGCUGGUUAGGGAGGAUGUUUCUCACGACCCAAAUCCCAGUGAAAUAUUUCACUUAGACCAAGGUCUGCAAUGUAACGGGGAGCUUACAAAAUGAUGCAGUUUCGGCUAACAUUAUUGCCUUUUACUUUACUAUAAAAGAAAGUGGGGCAUUGUUGGUUAUCUGGCUGUUUCCUGCUGAAUAAGGGCACUGUAAUUAGGGUUGGGUUUUGAAGCAGUGGGUGUUUGACUUCAGAGUUGUCUUCCUGGAGGGGCUGACACCAGACUUGGCGGAGGAGAAAGACAGUAUCAAUUGUUUCUGGAUGGCUGCCUGGACAAGGGAAUUCAUCUUUUGAGAGAUAAAGUGGAAUAUGAAGGAAGCAUCUGCGAGUUGGAUACAUGGAGUGCAGCUUCAGCAGAGAGGGGAGAGAUUGAGACAAGGUCUUACUUCAUCACCCAGCUUGGAGUUCAGUGGCAUAAUUGCAGCUCACUGCAACCUUCACCUUCCAGGUUCAAGUGGUCUUCCCACCUCAGGCUCCCAAAUAUCUGGGACCACAGGAGGAAAUCUCUUCACUGCUGCUGCUGACAAUAGAAGACUGAGGGUGUCCGGGAUCCUUUGCCCUCACGUCCAGUGAGUCCACAGAAACUACAGUGAUUGGGAUCGUGUCUGGACCCACUUCCCAUCAUCUCACCCAAAUUCUGGAGGAAAAGGAAGAGAAAUCCACAAAGUUGCUUGUGUCUCUUUCUCUCCCAAACUUUCAUGACUUCCUAGCCAACCUUGUUACAGACCUUCAGCAGUACCCUUACAGAACUCCCAUUAUAUAUCCU